UGGGGAAUAUUGCACAAUGGGCGCAAGCCUGAUGCAGCCAUGCCGCGUGUGUGAAGAAGGCCUUCGGGUUGUAAAGCACUUUCAGCGAGGAGGAAGGUGGUGAACUUAAUACGUUCAUCAAUUGACGUUACUCGCAGAAGAAGCACCGGCUAACUCCGUGCCAGCAGCCGCGGUAAUACGGAGGGUGCAAGCGUUAAUCGGAAUUACUGGGCGUAAAGCGCACGCAGGCGGUUUGUUAAGUCAGAUGUGAAAUCCCCGGGCUCAACCUGGGAACUGCAUUUGAAACUGGCAAGCUAGAGUCUCGUAGAGGGGGGUAGAAUUCCAGGUGUAGCGGUGAAAUGCGUAGAGAUCUGGAGGAAUACCGGUGGCGAAGGCGGCCCCCCUGGACGAAGACUGACGCUCAGGUGCGAAAGCGUGGGGAGCAAACAGAUUAGAUACCCUGGUAGUCCACGCUGUAAACGAUGUCGAUUUGGAGGUUGUGCCCCUUGAGGCGUGGNUUCCGGAGCUAACGCGUUAAAUCGACCGCCUGGGGAGUACGGCCNCAAGGUUAAAACUUAAAUGAAUU
rnacentral:rRNA from 1 species